rnacentral:lncRNA from 1 species
GGUACAAAAGGCAUCCUGGGAUCAGGUAACCUUGACUCAUCGAGAACGUCAUCUUUAACAUUGACUCACCGAGAACCCCGAAGGACGUAUGCUGAGAGAAUUAGCACUACUUCUGGGACAUCCCUUUCAGUCGGUUCACCUAAAACAAAGAAAACAGGAGCAGAAACCAAGGAAGAACUUUUAAGUAACUUCUUAUCUAGGUCUGACACAUCAGCUGUAGUAGAACCUGGAAUUCCUCCAGCUAUAAAUGUAAGAAUCCCGAUUCAUUCAGUAAUUGUUUGCGGUCACAUUUGAACAUCUCCUUUGCUUUUGUAGAAAAGUUCCAGCAUGAUUAAAUCCUAUUUCAAUGCCUUGUCACCACCCAAGCCUUCAGUAAUACUAGCUAAAUAUGGAUUUGAUUAGUUUAGGACAGUCUGUGCUGUGUUGAUUGAAACCGCUAAGUGGUAAUUGCAUAGUGAAUCCUUGACGUUGAACUUUGAGAGAUGUAAUGACACUAACUUUCUUCCACUUUAAAUCAGAUUAUAAUGGAUGUUGAUUUAUUCACAGGGUGGAAUGUCUCAAUCCCUAAAAAGCCCUCAGCCAGAUCCACCACAGGGCAGUAACUUCACACUUCAGCUCUUUCAACGUACACUUGAAGAAACUCUUGAUUCGUUUCAGAAAUCCAUACAUGAAGAUAUGAGGAACCUUCAUAUUGAAAUUUUAAGGCAAUUCCAUAUGCAGGAGGUAUGUAUGUGUUGUACCCUCGAUUUACCGUUAGUUUUCCAAAAUUUUUUGUCUCACAUAUAAUUAUCACAAUACUGUUACAGACUCAAAUGUCCAAUGUAAUGAGCUCAAUUCUUGAAAACCAAGCUGAGCUGAUGAAGGAAAUUAAGUCUCUGAGGAAAGAAAACCAUCAGCUCCGCCAACUGCUUUGAACACGGGUGAAGAUGCAUUAUUUGUGUGAUUAUUUGUUGAUGGAAUUUCGUAUCUUCUUGUCUAUUUAUUUAUUUGUCAUAGUUUGUUUUUACUCAGUGCCCACUGCCUGGUGGCCUUUUUUUUUUUUAAAUAGCUAAUUACAAUUGAUUUUAUAAGCAGAUAUUUCAAAGCCGGGUUGAAAAAAGAAAGAAAAAUCAGUUGUGAAGAAUGAUAAAGAUGGAGUGUUCUUAGAGAUAGGAGGUAUGAACAUGUACAGAAGUAUCUUUAUUCUAACAAAAUGAAGCUUUUAAUUGGGUGAUUGAUAUCCAAAUUACCUGUUAGUUUGUUAGGUUAUAGGAAAUACUUACAUUGAAAGUACAGUUCUCUGGUGCUUUUUUUUGGCUUUUUAUUUUGAUUUUUGUUUAAUUACCUUUUAUUUUUGCUUGUGAAAAAUGUAGAGGUAGAUCGGCUUCACUAAACUCGUGAAGAACUGAGGGGGAAAAAAAAAAGAAGUAUUUAAUAAAGCGUCAUUGGCAUAACAUGUUGAUUCUAUAGUGCUAAACCACGGAGUGGGUAUCAAGUGGAGUCAACUGCAGAGUGUGUAUUGAGGCCUAUUUGGAGUGCGUUUGAAAGCUAUAGGCACUUUAUUUUAUAAGUAUUAAAAAAAAAGAUUAUUUAGUAAAUUUUUAGAAAAUUUUUAUUUUUAAUAACGAUAAGUUUGGGGCUAUGGGACUUGUGUGGUUGAUGAAAUAAGUUGUAAAUAAGUUAUUGAUUUAAAAAGUAGCUUAAUAUAUAGUAAAUUAUGUUGUCAUGGUAGUUGUGAGUUUAAAAAAUGAAGAUUGUGUGUUUAAUAAAUUUUAUUACAAAAUAAUUGUUAAUAAUCAAAAUAGACAUAGCUUUAAAUUUCUUAUAUGUGUGUGUGUGUGUGUGUGUAUUAGGGCUUACAAAAAAUAAGUUAUAAUUAUCUUUUUGUUAAAAUAUUGAGGUUGUAAUAUGAAUUUUAAAGAGUAUAGUGACUUAUUUAAUAAGUUGUUUAUGGAAAAUAAUCAUCACUUACUUUUAAAAGCUACUAUUGAAAUAGAGAAAUAUAUGAAACAAUUGUUUUUAACAUAAUUUAUCAAAAUUUAUUAAUGGAGUUUAAAUAAGUCACCACAUUUUUUUUUAAAUUCUUAUUAUAAUUUAAUAUGUUAGCAAAAGGAUAAUUGUAUUUUAUUUUUCCACAAAGUCUAAUGUAAAAUAAAAGAUAAUUUAAAUUUGUGUCUUUUUUGUCAUUGUAUAAUAAAAUAAUAUUUGUGUUAUAAAAUUUAUCAAAGGUCUACUCUUUUUUAAACUCACAGCAAUUUUAAUAAUACAAUUUAUCAAACACUGAAUUUAUUUUAUCUAUAUAAGAAAAAUAAUUUAUUUUAUCUAUAUCAUAAAAAUAAUUUAUUUUAUCAGUCAUUAUAAUCUCAAGUGAAAGGAUAUGCUAUGUAAGAAAUUAUAUCACAAUCGCAGGGAGCUAUAAAAUAAUUACACAAACAUAAUUUCCCUGGAAAGUAACCAAACACGAGAAAACGUAAGUACUGCUAAAUAACGAGUUCUAAUUUGAGUUAGAAAAGUAAUUGACGUGUUAUUCAUUUAUGACUGAUAAUGGAAUAAUAAUUUUUUUAAAAAAAUGAUAUUUGAAAGAUAGGUGGAUCCGAUUUUUAAUAAGUAAAUAAAGGGAUUGAGACAAAAUAUUGAAACUGAUACAUUAUAUUAUAAGAAGGUGAAUAUAUCAUGCUUUGAAACAGUCCCGUAUGGGGUCAUCCAGUGAAAGUAAUUAAACGUUAUUUUGCCUAAUGUUCUCCUUGUGACAGAUAAUUGCUAGUGUUGGACUGGAUAAGAAGCUAUACACUUAUGACCCAGGGUCUAGAAGACCCUCAUCUUGCAUCACAUAUGAGGCACCUUUCUCUUCGUUAGCAUUUAUAGAUGAUGAUUGGAUAUUGACAGCAGGAACAAGUAAUGGCCGUGUGGUGUUCUAUGAUAUUCGCGGCAAACCACAGCCGUUAACUGUUCUUCGUGCUUGUAAUAGUUCAGAGGUGACUUCUUUACUUGUGUAUAUAUUUUAAUAUAGAAUCCCAGAAUUUGCAAAUGUCUCUUUAAUGUUGUUUUUCUUGUAGCAAUUGCUUGUGACAUCAACAUGUUGUAAUCAGUUUUGGCUUGUGUGUAUAUUAAUUUUUGUGUGUAUUAAACUGUGUGUUGACGUAUUCAUUAUUAACAUGCUAAGGUUUCAUUUUACCGUAUAAGAGGCCUUUCUCUUGUUGACCUAAAGUUCAGGUUGAAGUUGUUUGCCUUAUUGUUUAUUUGUGGAGUUUGGAGUAUUAACAUCAUAUUUUUGCAAGAAGUAUUUAAUAAAGUGUCAUUGGCAUAACAUGUUGAAAUUGUUUAUUUUUAAUUUUUUUUUACAGCAAGUAACUUUAGACAAGUAGUUUAAUAACGAUAAGUUUGGGGGUUAUGGACUUUUAUAAUUGUUGAUGAAAUAUAUUGUAAAUAAGUUAUUGAUUUAAAAAAGUAACUUAAUGUUUAGUAAGCUGUGUUGUCAUAUUAGUUGUGAGUUAAAAAAAUGGAGAAUGUGUGUUUAAUAAAUUUUAUUACAAAAUAAUUGUUAAUAAUCAAAAUAGACAUAGCUUUAAAUAUAUAUAUAUUAGGGCUUACAAAAAAUAAGAUAUAAUUAUCUUUUUGUUAAAAUAUUAAGGUUGUAAUAUGGAUUUAAAAAAAGUUUAGUGACUUAUUUGACAAGUUGUUUAUGAAAAGUAAUCAUCACUUACUUUUAAAAGAUACUAUUGAAAUUGAGAAAUUUAUGAAACAAUAGUUUUUAACAUAAUUUAUCAAAUAUCUUUUUGUCAAAAUUUAUUAAUGGAGUUUAAAUAAGUCACCACAUUUUUAAAAAAUUCUUAUUAUAAUUUUAAUAUUUUAACAAAAGGAUAAUUGUAUUUUAUUUUUCCACAAAGUCUAAUAUAAAAUAAAAGAUAAUUUAAAUUUGUGUCUUUUUUGUCAUUAUAUAAUAAAAUAAUAUUUGUGUUAUAAAAUUUAUCAAAAGUCUAUACUCUAUUUUUUAAACUCACAAUAAUUUUAAUAAUACAAUUUUAUCAAACACUAAAUUAUUUUUUUAAUUAAUAGUAUAUUUUAUUUAUACCAUAAAAAUAAUCUAUUUUAUCAAUCACUAUAUUACUAUAAUCUCAAGCUAACUUUAAAUGAAAAGAUAUGCUAUGUAAGAAAUUAUAUCACAAUCGGAGGGAGCUAUACAAUAAUUACAUAAACAUAAUUUCCCUGGAAAGUAACCAAACACGAGAAACGAAAGUACUGCUAAAUAACAAAAUUUGAGUUAAAAUCUUAAUUGACGUGUUAUUCAUUUUAUGACUGAUAGUGGAAUCAUAAUUAAAAAAAAAUGAUAAUUGAAAGAUAGGUGGAUCCGAUUUUAAUAAGUAAAUAAUGAUGUGUUUACUAGGGUUUAGGAGAUAUGAAUGAAUGAAUGAGAAUGAAAAAUAUAUUUACUUAGUAAAAUAUAAUUUUAGAGUGAAAAUAAAAUGUGUGGAUCCCACGUAAUUUAAGAAUAAAGAAUGAGAAUCACAUUCUCAUGUGAGGGUUGAGAAUGAGAAUAAAUGAAUGAAAAUGUAACUCAUAUUUACUUUUGUAUUCUUCUAAUUUUUUAUAUUUAUCAAAUUAUUCUCGUUCAAAUCACAAAUAAUUUUAUUAUUUUAAAUAUUAUUAUUAUUAUUAUGAUCAAAAUUUAUUAAGAAGUAAAUAAAGGGAAUGAGACAAAAUAUUGAAACUGAUACAUUAAAAUGGCUUGCAUAAAAAAAAUCAACGUCACGGUGACCCCGUCGUUUAGCGUUCGCAAACACAAUGACGUUCGACUUCAACCCUCCACCCAACCCCAAUCCCAAUCCCGUCUUCAUAUUUUCCCCAAACCAACAACCACUUCCACUUGCUAUCUCUCUCUCGCCGCCUUGAACACCACCAAAACGGUCUCCUCCUCUGUCGUUUCACACGCACACACGUGUCCACCAAUACGUGUUCACAUUCUAUACUAUACCAUUCUUUUUUCAUCACUUAAAAGUUAGUUAUUUCUGUUGAAUUCAGGUUUUUGAAUUGAGAUUCAAAUCGAAAAUGGCAGAAGGUAAUAAAACUGUUACUGCAUACGAGGAAGCGUUGGAUGCUUUGUCUUCUCUUAUAACAAAACGCAGUCGUGCUGAUAAGAGCAACAACGGGGAUCGCUUCGAGCUGCUUUCCGAUUAUCUAAAGGUAAAUAUUUUUCGUUUCUUUAUUAUUAUUAUUAUUUUACUUUUUUACUGGUGCAAAUUAUAAUGAGAUUGAACUAACUCUGUUCUAUAGAUUUUGGACUUAGAUGUGGCAAUUUCUCAAUUGAAGGUUAUUCAUGUUGCUGGUACCAAAGGAAAGGUAAUUUAUUUUUGUUUCUCUAUCUUUUUGAAAAAAUAAAUUUGAGCUUAAUUCUAUGUUGCAUAUUUAACUACCUUCUGAUAGCCGCUGUGAGUUCAUAAAUUGAGAAUUUAAAAUUAUUAAGAUUUUACACUUCGGAUGUGUUUUCAAGUUUUUGAGCAUAUUUCUAUUGAAUUUCGUACAAGCAUUCAAUUGAAAGUCCUAAACUAAGUGGUUGACAUGAGUUCUACUAGGCAAAUAUAAUUUCAAUGUCGUUUGACAUGAGUUCAUUUUUUUCCUUUUCAACUGGAAAGGGAUCCACCUGCACAUUUACGGAAUCUAUAUUGCGUAAUUGUGGCUUCCGGACAGGACUUUUCACAUCUCCUCACCUCAUUGAUGUUAGAGAAAGAUUUCGUUUGGAUGGGUGAGUUCUUCAAUUCCUCGAAUAGAUGUAUGUUCAUUUUAUUUAGGCAUGUAUGACCGGAAACUAAAUCUUGCCACACCCCAUUUGAGUGGGCUCAAACCCAGACCCCUCCCUGAGCGGUUUUACUAGUUGAACCAACUAACACGCUCAAGUAGAGUUAGCGUACAUUAGUCAAAUUAAUAUUAAGUUAUAUAUAUGACCUAUACUUCACUUAAUUUUCUGUUGUUUGAUUCUCAAUUAAUACUCGUUAUUAUGUGAUUCUGGUUCUUUGGAUAAACUAGACUUGUAACAUUUUCUUAACUCAUUGAACAAAAAGCAGAGUCAAAUUACAGUUUAUUUUCAAGUGACUAAUUUUCUUUUUUUUUUUCUUUUUCUUGGAUUGAAACUCAAUUUAAUUAAUAUAUAUCUCAAAAUAUUUCUAGCAGUACGUGAUCUUUUAUAUAUUUCAGAUUCACAUUUUGCUAAUUUCGUUGGCCUUAGGAAGUGCCAAUUACUUCGCUGAAGUUGGGAACCAUACUUGCAGUUUCACUCUUUUCUAUACGUAUUGUGUUUAACAUUGUGGAUAUUUAAAUUAAUGGCUGUUUUGCGUGCUGUAGUGAUGACAUAAGUGAAGACAAAUUUUUGGCAUAUUUUUGGUGGUGUUAUGAUAGACUGAAGGUAUGUUCUUGCCUUGUUUACUCUUUUUUCCUUCUAUUUAAAUAUUAUUCUAUCCCUAUACUUUGGAUUGUUCCAUCCUAAAAAAUUCUGUUAGUUGUGAUCCAUAUGCUUGGAGAAUGAUUCAAGUUGGGUUAAUUGUAUCAGGAUACAUUUACUUAAAAUUGGUGGAAUCAUGCUUAUUCUUGGAUUAAAUAUUUACGUACUGCAAGGGAAUCAUAUUGAUCCAUGAAUGAAAGAGUUGUCUCUUUUAUGCAAAGCUAUGUGAUUUCAUGGUGUAUUUAUUUGCAUCUUUUUUCCUUUCCUUCAUUUGUGUAUGCAGGAAAAAGCUACUGAAGACAUACCCAUGCCUUCUUACUUUCGCUUCCUUGCAUUACUUGCCUUCAAGAUAUUUACAGCAGAGCAGGUUUGAUACAUAUAGUUUACCUCUUGCAAAAUUUCGUACCUAGUACCUGAAUAUUAUUUCUGUCCAGAUGUGUGGAGUGGGAAAUAUUACCUUUACCAUGUUGUUCUAUGCAGAUAGAUGUUGCUAUCUUAGAGGUUGGAUUAGGUGGAAGGUUUGAUGCAACAAAUGUGGUAUGUUUUGAUGUUGUUUGAUGAAGAAAUCAAUAUAUUCAUAUCAUUUUUAGAUCUCUUGUCAUAAACAUCAUUUUAUAAAAUUAUUCCAAUUGUAUCAGGCCAUCUACGCGCUAGGAUACAUAUUGUUCUGAAAGUUCUAAUAGGCAUAACAAACUUCAUUUUUCAGGUUCAGAAACCUGUAGUAUGCGGCAUUUCUUCCCUUGGGUAUGACCACAUGGAGAUUCUUGGUUAGUUCUAUUAUUCCUUAUAUUUAGGUAAUUGCUCAUAGUUACUCAAUGUGUAAAUAGUAAGCAGAGCUUAAUAUAGUGCAUCACUACAUUCUAAAUUCUAUUAGAACUUUCUGUCAAAUGCUGCAAUAGGUGCAGACAUGUUCUGGUCUUGAUUUAUGUAGAAAAUGGUCAUUACAGCGGAUAAGAGAAUGAUUUGUGCCAUACUAUUCUAGUUCAGUGUUACUCACACUGAGGUUCCAACCAAAGAGUGUUGCCUGAAUUAGUAUCUGGCAUGAGUCCAUGCCAUUAUUUUAAUUGAUGACUGAUACGUGGAUUUGUUGAAAGUUUACUUUUAAAUUCCCUUUCAAGGCUACUUGUUGAUAUGUAGAUGUGCCUUGAUGACCUAAGAGUUUAAACUAACUUGUGGAAUCCAUACUUUAAUGAUGACAUGAAUUCUCAACAACUGAUUUUUGGGAUAGUCAUAGUCAGUAUCUUCAACAUUUGGAGUUUUUAGCUUCCAAAGGCAUCCAAGCUUAAAUGAUAGCAUAAAAAUUAUCGGAAAAGCACACUCGAAACUUGAACGUAUUAGAUGCUCUCCAAAACUAUGCUCUCUGAUGAUUAUUUCGGCUUAUAAUAAUUGAAAUUUCAUUUCUUUUGUUGGCUGCUAAAAACAGGAAAUACACUUGGAGAAAUUGCUGGGGAGAAGGCUGGUAUCUUUAAGGUUUAUACAGAUUACCAUUUACUCAGAAAAAUCUAUGCGAGUAGUAUAUGCUUUUUCCAGGCAACAGAGUUGGGAGUUUCCUUUAAUACUUUUCUUCAUUCCCUUUCUGUUUCCUGAUGCAGUAUGGAGUUCCUGCUUUUACUGUACCUCAGCCUGAAGAGGCAAUGCGUGUACUUGAAGAGAAUGCUUCCAAGUUGGAUGUAGGUUGCAUUUUCUUUCAUGAAUGAGUUUGUUUUCGUGCACAAAUGGAAAAUGCAUGACUCAAAACUUAGCUGACAGUUAGUAAGAUUGACUUGUGUAAGUCAAUUUGAUGAUCAUGCUAAGCUAAAACUGAGAGAUCAAUCAAAAAUCAGUUUGUGUUCUGGUACAUAAAAUGCGAAUCUGGGUUUACAAUACUGAUUUAGUGUUAGCAUUUUCUUAGACCUAAUAAGGCUUCCCGGUGGUUUAAAUCGCAAGUCCAACUGCAUUCUUACUUGAUAUUAUGAUUUUGAGGGUUGAUACGCUUAGGAUUUUGAAGAAUUGGCAAGUCGUAUACAACCUGGUAUAUAUGGUUUUGAGGCAUUUUGUUUUACAAAUUAUGUCUCUUUCAUCUGCUCCACCAAGGUAGUUCUAAGAGUAUCUUAUCCAGUUGUCUGAUCUUAAUUUAAGUUGGGGCCUCUAAUUGUUGAAGGCUCUAAAAUUAGUGAACACUGACAUUGUAUCAUGUAAAAACUUGGUACUUCUGAUUUUUCUGAUAUAAUCAGGUUAUGCUGCAUUUUAGAAAAGAAUGAUAAGGUUGCCUUCACUGAGCACUGAGAAAAUCAUACUGAUGACAGGUACCUCUUCAAGUAGUACCACCGUUGGAUGCAAGUUUGCUGAAUGGUUUGAAGCUUGGGCUUGAAGGUGAACAUCAAUAUAUGAAUGCUGGUCUUGCUGUUGCUCUAAGUUCUACUUGGCUUCAGAGGACCAGUCAACUCGGAAUUAACUACCUGGAUACAACAGUAUGUUCUUUUCAUAUGAGUUUGGCAUUUUUUCUUCUACUUUGUGACUCAGGCAUAUGUUCUCUUGUUAUAUUGGUUUCCUCUUUCACCUUAUGUUGUAUUUAUCUGCAUGGCGCAGAGUCCGCUUCCUGAGCAGUUCAUCAAAGGUCUAACAAUGGCCAACCUGCAAGGACGGGCUCAGAUUGUUCCUGAUCGAUAUACAAACUCUGAAACAUCUGGAGAUCUGGUGUUCUAUUUGGAUGGAGCACAUAGUCCUGAAAGCAUGGAAAUAUGUGCAAGAUGGUUUUCUCUGGCAAUUAAGGAGGAAAAUCAGCAAGAAACCUUUGAUUUUCAACCACCAAAUAGUUCUGGAUCUUCCAAUGGAUUGCCACAGAGACAGCAUGAUGGAAAAAUUAGAAAGAACUCUGCACAGGUAGAGAAAGUGGCGUCAUGCUUCAAGAGUAUAUAUGCUUUAAUUGGUAAAUCCACUCUGAUUGAUUUCUAUACUCCAAAACCACAGGAGAACUCGUAAUUUAGUUACGCAAAUUCUUUAAAGUAGAGAAUAUAGGUGCUUCAGGUCACAUGCCUUUUCCAGUGACAGCAGAUCAUAUGCUUUAAAUGAAGAGAGCCACUUGAUUAUGUGAUAAACACAAUAUUUACCAAUAAAAAAUAGCUGAGAUGGACUUCAUUCUCACCUCUAUAUAUGAGAUUUUCACUGAAUUUGGCUUUCCUCUAUUUUCAGACCAAAAGUUUGCAUUACUUUCAGUCAACACAUCUAUAAACACAGCUUUUGAUAGUGUCUUCAUAUAUUUGCAUGUGAUUUUGUGGGAGCAUCCUGAAUUUUAGAUUGUGAUAUUUAUUGUGUACUCAGAGAAUAUUCCGCUGCACUGGGUCACAUUUGUGUUGAUGGUGAACUAAACUUGUUGAAAAAUCCUUGCAGAUUCUGUUGUUCAAUUGUAUGUCGGUGCGAGAUCCUCAGUUGCUUCUUCCUAGCCUGAUGAAAACUUGUGCCAGACAUGGUGAGUGCAAGUCAUCUUUUAGAGUUAUUCUCCUACGUUUUUUUAGAACAUGUAGGACUCAUAUAUGGUUGAAGUACUUGGUAGUUUAUUACUGUAUUUUACAGAAAAGAAAAGAAGAUAUUUGAUUUUUAUUUUGAUGGUAUUUAUCACGUUGGUUUAGCUUAAACAUCUCAUUGUAACUGUAGGUGUUUACUUCAAGAAGGCUCUGUUUGUGCCAAAUGCAUCAGUGUACAAUAAGGUUGGAUCCCAUGCUUUACCGCCAACUGAGACUCAAAUCGAUCUGUCCUGGCAGUUUGCUCUUCAAAGAGUGUGGGAAAACCUCAUGCUGGGUGAUAAAGGUAUCAAUUAUAUGUGCGGUACCCAUCGUUGUGAUAAUCAUAUUGCAUCAGCCUGAACUGGUGAAAUAUCUCGCGAUUUUCCUUAAUAGAAAUAAGUAGUUUAUCUAAAGCCAGCUGUUUUUGUUUUAUCUAUGAAAAUGUUAUUUUUUGAACUCAUUUGCAGGGGAGGCCAAGAAUACAGAUAAUGCAUCUGAAGAUGUAAAAGACGACACAGAAUUGAGUGCUAGGAGCUGUGAAAACAGUGCAGUCUUUUCUUCUCUGCCACUGGCUAUUAAAUGGCUCAGGGACAGUGUCCAACAGAAUCAGUCUCUUCGUUUUCAGGUAACCGUUGUCGUCAUGUAAGGUCUCUGUAUUGGAUUUACAUUAUUAUCAAUCAAAAUUUUCUCUUCAAUUAUCAGGUCCUUGUAACUGGUUCGCUUCAUCUCAUUGGUGAUGUGCUGAAAAUAGUGAAGAAGUGAGUGGGAGUGACAAAAGUCCAUGUUCAUUAACGGCAAGUUUCUCUUCAGAUCAUCUUGAUGCAAUUCAUGUCAGCAACAUGGGGCAAAUGACAAACACAUUCGUUGGUCAAGAAAACGUAUUCAAUUAAUUUUAACCCGACGGCAGCAUACAAUUUCUCCGAAAGAUUUACAGCUUCGUAGGGCCUGUACUUCAUUAGAAGAUGACAAAAUUUUUACCGACACUUGAAAGUUGUUCACUUGAGAAAAAAAGAUUUUGUAAUUGAUACCGCUGUUGGUUCAAGGAGUUGCAAGUUAUUGGAGAGAUUACAAUUCGAUGGCUCAUAGUAUUAUUAGUACAUCAUCACACAUGCAAAAGACAAACUUAUGCCACUUCUCUGCGGGCGUAUUUAAUCGUGUGUCGUCUCAACCACAGCUGAUACAUCACCAUAUGAAACGCAUCGUACGGCUGUGGUUGCUCAUUCCAGACAAAGUGCUUACCCGCCGUUACACCCAAUUCCCUCACCUCCCCGUACCUGUCAUCCCCACCACACGUGCGAUACAACACGCGCUUCAACUCCUGCACCGUAACCCCGGCCCGGCCUUUAUUCCAUCCCACAAACACCGCCAUCUCCUGCCACCUCAGCACGUCCAUCAACGGCAGGUCCUGGAUCGGACAAAAACAGGAAGUAAUCUUAAAAGAUUUUACAUACCCAAAAAAAUAAAAAAGAAGUAAUCUUACACGAUUUAUAAAAUUAUAUAUACAUCAAAAUAAAUUUUCAUCUCAUACUGUUCAAACCCUAGAAAAAAAAAUUAAACCUUAACCUUAUCUCUUUCUUUAUUCCCCAUCUCAAUCACCAUGAACAAUAACAACAACAAUAGCAACAAUAUUGAUCCCAACAACAAAAAGAAGAUAACAAAGGGGAGGCAAAAGAUUCAAAUCAAGAAACUUGAAGACAAAAAUAGCCUGCAAGUAACCUUCUCGAAGCGCCGGUCUGGCCUUUUUAGCAAAGCCAUGGAGCUAUGCGUCUUGUGUGGUGCUGAAGUAGGUAUCGUUGUGUUUUCUCCCAAUGGGAAGAUCUUCCUCGCCGGCCAUCCUGACUUUGACAAGAUUUUGAAUCGUUAUCUCGACCAAAAUCACUCGUCUCUAGACGAAGUUAACGCGAUACCAUGUGUACAACAACAUAACAAAGAGUAUGAAGAUGCCACACAAGAGUUGGAGAAUGAGAAGAAGAGGAGGAAGAUGAUUGAAGAGGAGAAAAAAAAGAAUAAAAAUAAUGGUAGGUUCUGGUGGCAAGAGGGUAAUAUUGUUGAUGAUAUGGGAAUUGAAGAGGUUGAAGAGUACUUAAAGGCUAUGAAGAAAUUGAAAGGGAAGGUUGAAAUGAGGGUUAAUGAAAUGAUGAUGGAUGAAUAUUUGGUGCCUAAUAUGAAUUUGGGGAAUGAUCAUUCAGAUGUGUUUGGUAAUAUUAAUGUUAAUGUUAAUGAAAAUAUUAGUGUUAGUGGAGGAAUUGAUGGAGGAGUUGAUUUUGAUUUUGGUUUCGGUGAGCAUUUUAAUUAGAAUGCAACGUGAGAGAUAGAUUGAUAAUAAAUAAUGUUUUUAAUGUUUAACAUUUAUUUUUAUUUUUGUUUUAAGUUUGAAUAAUAUUUCUGAUUUUGUUAUUUUCUUAUGAAUUAAAUGAUUAGAAAUAAAAAUAUAAAAUUUAUUACUUUACAAGUUGCUCAUAAUAUAUAUAUUUUCUAAUGAAAUAAAAUUUUAUGCAUGAAUUGAAAAGGAUUUUAUUAUAAAAAUAGAUUGUUUGGUGAUUGUUUCAAUAGUACUAUCACUGGAUCUUUUUUUCUAUUAUUUCUUUCCGCCAUAUCUUGAAUAGCGGGUUGGUUACACCUACAACCGAAGUGGAAACCGAGCGUUUCGUGGUUCAAAAAUGCCGAAUCUCGUCUGAAUCAUCAUUUGUCAGGACUGUUCGGAGUAAGUUCCUUGGCUUGGACAGGGCAUUUAUCAUAUGACUUUUGUUUUAUCAAUUAAUCUUGAUCUAAUGCUGGAGAAGAUAAGAAAAUAUCAUUGUGGAGGAAGAAUGGGGAGAGCAUGGGAACAAUUCCGGUAGCUGGUACAGAUAGCGGAGACAAUAUUGAGGUAAUCCUCUUCUAGCUCUGAUCUACCAUCAAUCGAAGCAUUAAAUUUGAAGCAUGUGGGUUUGUGUAUGUGUACUUCUAACACCAGUCAUUCUAUCUUCUAGAGAUUCAAUGACAGAACAGUGCAUGUUCGAUUGCACGCCAGCAAUGGCUCACCCGAAGCCACUUUUUAAGCAGUUGUCUUCUGUGUGGGAAAGGUUUUGAACUUUAAUUGUUUUUUCCCCUGAAUUUGUCAUUCAUUCUGCCAGCUUCAGUUGCUUGUGGUAAACUAAAGAUCCACAUUUUCCAGUAAAUGGGCUUUAUAGGUCUAAAGUAUCAACUUAUUUUUGGGAAUUUUUCUCAUAUUUUCAGGAAUCAAUAUUGGCUAUUAGUUUUAGCAACAAGGGAUCCAGAUAUAUAUGUUCUGGGGGAAGCAGUCAAGUUGUAAGAAUAUGGGACCUUCAGAGGAAACACUGAAUCAAAUGGUUGAGGGGUCAUACCAAUACUAUAAUAGGUGCAAUGUACAAUUGCAAAUAUGAGCACUUGGCUUCUAUCAGUUUAAGUGGGGACCUUAUUCUCCAUAACCUUGCAUUGGGAGCAAAGGCUGCUGAACUCAAGGAUCCUAAUGAACAGGUUGUUUCGGUUCUUGCAGCUGGGUUGUAUUCUAGUGUUUAUGACCAAGAGUCUCUGCUGCCCAAGCUAAUUGUUUGUCUGAUGGAUUUAAGGCCAGGUACUGAGGGUGCUUGAUUAUUCACGGAAUAGUCGACACCUCUUGGUGACUGCAGGUGAUGAUGGGACUUUACAUUUGUGGGAUACUACUGGGCGUAGCCCAAAGGUAUUCAGUAUUUCCAUUAUUGGGUUCGGAAACAUGUACAUACUAUGGGACGUCUGAUGUGGUUUAAUGAAUUGUAUGCAUAAGAAGAGUUUCAUUUAACUUAUUGAAUGCCGUGCUUACCUUGGUCCUUUCAAAGCUAGAUUUCAAAUCCUUUGUUAGAAAAAUCCUGAUGAUUUUGUGCUUGUGUCGUCAUAGUUAUUGUUCAGUAAUUGUAAUUUUGAAUGAGAUGUGGCAGCACAGAAUUUGAGAAAGUACAUCCAGAAGUCAAGAUGAUUUCCUUUAAUUUAGCAAAUGUUUUUAUUCCAAAUAAUAUUUAGAUGUUGAAUUAGGCUGCUCCCUACCUUGAAAUAUUUCAGAUAUGGUCAUCAUCUUUUCUGAUAGGGGAUCUGCUGCUUAUCAUGGAAACAUUCGACUUACACUAUGGUCAAGCCAUUCAUGCAUCUUUCUAAUAUCCUCUUUUUCUUCCACUCAUCAGAUUUUUGGCGUUGGCCAGUAAUAGGGGGGUUGGUUAAAAAUGGGGUAGAGAAAUUUUUGACAUGCUCUCUUCUGUUUUGGGUUCAUUAGUAUUAUCAUGUCCAAUAUUAAUUCCUCGUCACACCGUAGAUGCCCUUGUUUUAGGUUUGAAACAAUUUUUCAGGAUCAUAAUAAUCACUUUUCUGCUUACAGGUUUCUUGGUUGAAACAGCAUUCUGCACCAACUGCUGGGAUUAGCUUCUCAUCCGAUGAUAAGGUAUAGUCUUUAUCUUAUUAACUCGGAACCUUUUUGCAAUAAAUUGACAGAGACGUAAGAAGGUGAAUAUAUCAUGCUCUGAAACAGUCCCGUAUGGGGUCAUCCAGUGAAAGUAAUUAAACGUUAUUUUACCUAAUGUUCUCCUUGUGACAGAUAGUUGCUAGUGUUCGACUGGAUAAGAAGCUAUACACUUAUGACCCAGGGUCUAGAAGACCCCCAUCUUGCAUCACAUAUGAGGCACCUUUCUCUUCGUUAGCAUUUAUAGAUGAUGAUUGGAUAUUGACAGCAGGAACAAGUAAUGGCCAUGUGGUGUUCUAUGAUAUUCGCGGCAAACCACAGCCGUUAACUGUUCUUCGUGCUUGUAGUAGUUCAGAGGUGACUUCUUUACUUGUGUAUGUAUUUUAAUAUAGAAUCCCAGAAUUUGCAAAUGUCUCUUUAAUGUUGUUUUUCUUGUAGCAAUUGCUUGUGACAUCAACAUGUUGUAAUCAGUUUUGGCUUGUGUGUAUAUUAUUUUUUGAGUGUAUUAAACUAUGUGUUGACGUAUUCAUUAUUAACAUGCUAAGGUUUCAUUUUACUGUAUAAGAGGCCUUUCUCUUGUUGACCUAAGGUUCAGGUUGAUGUUGUUUGCCUUAUUUUUUGUUUGUGGAGUUCGGAGAAUUAAAAUCAUGUUUUUGCAGUCUAUAUAAAUACUAAGUAUUUGAAGUGUUUAUAAGGCUGUGUCAAGUUUGUGCUGGCAAAGAGCAAAGCCAGUUUUUAUUGAUGAGACUACUUGCAAAGCUGAGACUGCUCUCCUAGGAGAUGCUGUCGGGGACUCUAUUCUUAUGCCUGACCCACAUCCCUCGGUGACAUCAUCAAGUGUUUCACUGUCCACUGCAGUAUCCGGUUCUCGUCGUAAUAGCCAUUCAGGUCCUUCUGCAGAAGCAUCUUCUCUUACUGUGGGUGGUACUGGUUCUGUAUCUAGGACCCAAAGUCUGCCUUCAGGAGAGGAAACACCACAACGUAGCUAUCUCCGUCCAGGCGGACCAUUGGCAAGAUUACAUGCCCCUCGAUCUAGUUAUAAUUUUAAGGAUGAUAUGGAAGUGUUUUCCCCUCUUGUUGAUGUUCAGCCAAUUACACCAUCACUUGAUAAACUGUGGGAUGGUCAUGGAGGAGCAAAGAAAGAUCAUCUACCCAUUGACAAGAAGCCUUCAUCCAUGUUGUUUCCUUCAUCCAGCAGGAGAUUCCCUUACGCAGAGGAUGGUGCAAAUGAGCACUCAGUAUUUGAUUGGAAAUCUAGUUCAACAUCUAAACAGGUUUGUCCUCAUUUCAGUUUUGUUUCCGGAUGCUUCCUGCAAUGUGUGAAUAUUUAUUUCUUUCUUCUGGGUGUAAGAUAUUAAUUUCAACCUUUAGCACACUUUUAUUUUGGUGUAGCUACUUUGGCGAGUACUCUAAAUAUACACUGUUGGAAGAAGACAACAGCUGUUUUCUACAUCGUACUGGACGUUUGGCAUAGUGUCAAAAUAUUCUCAAAGGCAAUAAUUCAACUGCCUUUGGGUCUUAGAAGUCAUGAGAUUUUUUGCCGUCCAAGUUAGCUUCUGUUUUCUCAUGGUUUCUUUGUUUUUAAUCUUAAUCGCAUGUUAGGGGAGAUAUGAAUGUGAAUUGGCUACAAUCUUGUAUGUAUGGUCAGUUAUUUUAGAUAUUUUAUGCAUAGCUCAGGUAAAUUGGAUUGUUCUCCAGAACUUGAUGUGUUUUCAAUUUCUUCGUGGCAUUGCAUUUAUGUUUGUCUUUUUGCAGGAUGAUGCCAGAUCUUUUGCGCUAUUGGGAUCAACACCUUCUCCAUCUUCCAAGAGCGAAGACUCUUCCAUCACUCCUCCAGAAGCCUGGGGUGGUGAGAAAUUAUCUGACAAAUUUGCCCUCCUCCGUCAGCCACUCAAUAUGCCAUCUCGUUAUGGGAUGUCAACUUCUAGUGGUCUCACAUCAAGUUCAAUGUAUUCUGGACUGCAAGAUGUGUCACCGGGUCAGACAAGUAUUAUCUAAUUGACAGAUUCUAACCUGAGCCGUGAAAACCUGCGUACCAAAGAUGUCACUUCAUAUCAGGAGACUUCGUCUUUGGGAUUUCCAGAACACCUCUCAUCUAGUUUCCCAUCUCUGUCUCUUGGUACAAAAGGCAUCCUGGGAUCAGGUAACCUUGACUCAUCGAGAACGUCAUCUUUAACAUUGACUCACCGAGAACCUCGAAGGACGUAUGCUGAGAGAAUUAGCACUACUUCUGGGACAUCCCUUUCAGUCGGUUCACCUAAAACAAAGAAAACAGGAGCAGAAACCAAGGAAGAACUUUUAAGUAACUUCUUAUCGAGGUCUGACACAUCAGCUGUAGUAGAACC